rnacentral:rRNA from 1 species
UACAGAGGUCUCAAGCGUUGUUCGGAUUCAUUGGGCGUAAAGGGCGCGUAGGCGGCUUUGUAAGUCGGGGGUGAAAGCCUGUGGCUCAACCACAGAAUUGCCUUCGAUACUGCAUGGCUUGAGACCGGAAGAGGUAAGUGGAACUGACGAGUGUAGAGGUGAAAUUCGUAGAUAUUCGCAAGAACACCAGUGGCGAAGGCGGCUUACUGGUCCGGUUCUGACGCUGAGGCGCGAAAGCGUGGGGAGCAAACAGG